CCUACGGGUGGCAGCAGUGAGGAAUAUUGGUCAAUGGACGAGAGUCUGAACCAGCCAAGUAGCGUGAAGGAUGACUGCCCUACGGGUUGUAAACUUCUUUUAUAUGGGAAUAAAACGUUCCACGUGUGGGAUUUUGUAUGUACCAUAUGAAUAAGGAUCGGCUAACUCCGUGCCAGCAGCCGCGGUAAUACGGAGGAUCCGAGCGUUAUCCGGAUUUAUUGGGUUUAAAGGGAGCGUAGGUGGCUUGUUAAGUGAGUUGUGAAAGUUUGCGGCUCAACCGUGAAAUUGGAGUUCGAACUGGAGGGAGUUAAUACGUGGAAAGCAGGCGGAAGUCGGGGUGUAGCGGUG
rnacentral:rRNA from 1 species